rnacentral:rRNA from 1 species
CUACGGGCGGCAGCAGUGGGGAAUAUUGCACAAUGGGGGAAACCCUGAUGCAGCAACGCCGCGUGGAGGAUGACGCAUUUCGGUGUGUAAACUCCUUUUAUUUAGGAAGAAAUUUGACGGUACUAAAUGAAUAAGCACCGGCUAACUCCGUGCCAGCAGCCGCGGUAAUACGGAGGGUGCAAGCGUUACUCGGAAUCACUGGGCGUAAAGGACGCGUAGGCGGUUUGAUAAGUUGGAUGUGAAAUCCUAUGGCUUAACCAUAGAACUGCAUCCAAAACUGUCAGACUAGAGGGAGGGAGAGGUGAAUGGAAUUAGUGGUGUAGGGGUAAAAUCCGUAGAGAUCACUAGGAAUACUCAUAGCGAAGGCGAUUCACUGGAACUUUACUGACGCUGAGGCGUGAAAGCAUGGGGAGCAAACAGGAUUAGAUACCCCCGUAGUC